ACUGACCUUAUUUCUCUGAGGUAGCAAGAGAGCAGGUUGAAGAAUGAGUAUUAUCUUCUUAAGGCAGCAAGGAAGUAAACUGAAGAUUGAAAAUCUUAUCUCUCUAAGCAGUAGCAGAGAAGAUCGAGGAUGACGAAUCUUAUCUCUAUGUAUCGGCAAUAGAGCAGAUUUUAGCUAUUGACCUUAUCUCUCUGAGGUAGCAAGAGAGCAGGUUGGCGAUUGUAGUCUUAUCUUCCUGAGGUAGCAAGGAAGCAGACUAAAGAUUGAAGAUAUUAUUUCCCUGAACAGAAAAAGUAGAUCGAAAAAGACAAAUUUUAUCUCCAUGUAUCGGCAAUGGAACAGGUUUAAGCCCCAAGAUUUAUUUCCCUGAAGUUGCAAUGGAGUAGAUUUUAUUACUAGCCUCAUUUCUCUGAGGUAGCAAGAGAGCAGGUUGAAGAAUGAGUCUUAUCUUCCUUAGAUAGCAAGGAAGCAGACUGAGAAUUGAAGAUUUUAUCUCCCUGAGAUUGCAGCGGAGCAGAUCUUCGCAGAUGAUGAAUCUUAUCUCCAUGUAUCGGCAAUGGAGCAGAUUUAAGACACUAGCCUUAUCUCUCUGAGCUAGCAAGAGAGUAAGUUUGCGAUUGUAGUCUUAUCUUCCUAAGGUAGCAAGGAAGCAGACUAAAGUUUGAAGAUCUUAUCUCCCUAAGUAGUUGUGGAGCAGAUCGAGAAUGGCGACUCUUAUCUCCAUGUAUUGGCAAUGGAGCAGAUCUAAGUCAUUAAGCUUAUUUCCCUAAAGUUACAGUCCAGAUUUAGCAAAAUCGGGCAAAAUUGGCCCUAUUUGAAGUCUUUGCUCUAUUCUCGUUGCACGAAAAUGAGCAAAGAGGGGCAGCUGUAAUAGGCCCAUUUCGCCCAGGCCUAUACCAAAACCAAAAUAGAAAAAUAAUAAAACCAAAAUAAUUUAAAAGUCAAGUCCAUUUACAUUUUCCAAUUAACCCAAAUAGACCAGCACCCCAUGGUCCAAAACUAAACCAAAUUUUCAGCAGAAACCCUAAGGUUCCCUUGCGCCGAACAGGUUUCCAACAGCUUCCAGCAUCGCUCCUACCUCCGGCCAGUCCCACGUGCGCCAUCAGUCAGCUGGCUCCAUACCUGCAACAAAUGGAAAUUACAACAGCAAAUGAUAGAUAAUAUAACAGAAUAAUAGCAAACAAAUGAAGGGGGAAAAGGGGAAAUUUGAAAAUUUUGAUUUUGUCUAUAUAAAGCCAAUUGUAUACUGUAAAUAGGGGAUUAUUUUUUUUCCACAGAAAUACAGAAGCAUAUUGAAAGAGAAAUAAAAAUCGAAAAGGUGAUUUCCAGUCUUAUUGUUUUCCUUUUUUUUCUUUUUUUUUUGCGUUUUUCUUCUUUAGGAUUACAUGAAAUUUUAAAACAAAAGAAAGAAGGGGAUUUACAUGAAAUUUUAAAAUAAAAAUAAGGGAUUUACCUUAGUAGUCAAUAACCGUCUUCUUCGUCGCAAUCGAAGCAGGGACGGGAUUUUGAAAUCGAAGCAAAUAGUCUUCGAGGUUUAACCCUCCAUGGCUCCUCUGUGCAUCUUGAGUCACUGAUCAAAACGAAGCAAGAACAUGCAGAUAAGGGGGCUAUGGGGAUCGGCCGAAGGGAGAGGAGUGAAUUAGAGUGCUUCUGUCUUCUCUCUUUUGUUAGUAUUUUAGGUUUUUUUAUUUUUUCCUUUUGUUUUUUAUGAAACAAACAAAAUGGCACCGUUUGAGAAAGGUAAAG
rnacentral:lncRNA from 1 species